UACAGAGGUCUCAAGCGUUGUUCGGAUUCAUUGGGCGUAAAGGGUGCGUAGGCGGCGCGGUAAGUCGGGUGUGAAAUCUCGGAGCUUAACUCCGAAACUGCAUUCGAUACUGCCGUGCUUGAGGACUGGAGAGGAGACUGGAAUUUACGGUGUAGCGGUGAAAUGCGUAGAUAUCGGGAGGAACACCGAUGGCGAAGGCAGGUCUCUGGGCCAUAACUGACGCUGAGAAGCGAAAGCAUGGGGAGCGAACAGG
rnacentral:rRNA from 1 species